CAUCACCCCCCCCCGCCGCUCACCUGGCCCACAGAGGCGGCUGAAGUGGUAGGGGUUGCAGCAGACGGUGGGGCCGUCGGCGACGCCGAAGCUCUGGCACUCGCAGAGGGGCUUCAGCUCGGCGGGGUGCUGCAGGUCGGGCCAGCGGAAGAGCUUCCCCAGCAGGAGGUGGGGGGGCGCCGCCUGGCCCCCCAGGCGCACCUCGGUGCGGGCCACCAGCACGCAGCCGCUCGGCAUGCCCCCGCGGGACUCCACCGCCUCCAGCAGGCUGUCCAGCGAGCGCUCCUUCAGCCGCUUCAGCAGCGAGUAGGUGACGGCCUUCAGCUCCUGCUCCAGCACCAGCAGCCGCGACCGCGCCUCGCGGCCCCGCCGCUCCGGGGACCCGCCGGGGGCUCCGCCGUCGGGGCCGGGGGGGGCGGCCCGGGGGGCUCCCGGCUGCCGCUCGCCGAAGAGGCAGCAGGUCACGGAGCUCUCCCGGCCGCGCCUCGGGCUCGGUCCCUCGGUGCCGUCCCGGCGCUGCGGGGCGCGGAGCCGAGCCCCCCGGCGCUCCGCCAUCGGGGGGACCCCGCGGCGCCCCCCGGCCGCCGGCCCGGCUCGCGGCUCCUCGGCCCCGCCGCCGCUCCCUAGGGCCGGGCGGCCCCGCUCCGGGCUCCCGUCGCCGCCGCCGCCGUCUCCGCCGGCUCCGGGCUCGCGGCCGCCGCUCGUGGCGCUGCCAUCGCCGCCGCCGCCGCCGCCGUCGGGCACGACGCGGCUCCUCCAGAGGCGCCGCACCAGCCCCGAGCGUUUGGACCUGAACAUACGCCGAGGCGCGGGCGGCCGGGGGCCGGCGGCGCCGCUCGCCGCCCCCUGUGCCGCGGGGGGGGCUCGUGGCCGGCCGCCGCCGCCUCUAUCUCAUCUCAGCCCCGCCGCCGCCGCGGGCUCCCUCCCGGCCGGGCCCCGCUCCCCGGCGCGGCGGCUCCUCCGUGCGGCGCCCCGCCACAGCCCUGCGCAGCGACUCGCCCCCGGCCCGCGGCGGGGCUGCACCAUGGGGCGGGCGGCGGGGCGGGGGCGCCGGGCGGGCAUAGACGGCGCCGCGGGGCGCUCCCGGAGCCGGGCUCACGGCCGCCGCGCCGGGCCCUCCGCCAUCGGCCGCCG
rnacentral:lncRNA from 1 species